GCUUGCUUUGCUUAUACAUGUACUAAAUUGGAAUGAUAUAGAAAAGGUUAGCAUGGCUCCUGGAUAAGCAUGAUACUCAAAUUCAUGAAGCAUUCCAUAUUUUG